AUUUUCAUUUUUUUGCUUUAUGUAGCAUUUUUUGUAAUGCUUGAUGCUCGACCAAAGAUCGCUCGUUUGAAAGAUUGGAAAAAAAAUUCAGAACUUGUCAAUUUUAACAGAUUGCAUGACCAUUCAUUGGGGCAAAAACUUGUUAACAAGAUAAAUAAACCUUUUGAUCAACUGAAAAGUCGUGUUAAAAAAGAUGCUUUUUCAAAAAAGGAAGAAACUCCACCAAAAGGAUGAUACUUGAUUAGUUUUUGUUAGAGUAUGGGAAAAAGAAUCUUUAAAACAAAAAUCAACGAUGAAAACAACAAGAGCAAUAAUUUUUAA
rnacentral:lncRNA from 1 species